AAUCUUAUUAACAUUAAACUGCAAAUUUAAAAAUGAAUAAAAAUUCUAAGAUUU
rnacentral:tRNA from 1 species